rnacentral:rRNA from 1 species
CACGCGCGUGUGUGAUGAAGGGUUUCGGCUCGUAAAACACUGUUGUCAGAGAAGAUGACAUUGAGAGUAACUGUUCUUGUGUGACGGUAUCUUACCAGAAAGGAACGGCUAAAUACGUGCCAGCAGCCGCGGUAAU